rfam:Hordeum vulgare subsp. vulgare, WGS project CAJW01000000 data, contig: morex_contig_1558975
AGAAUACUCCCUCCGUCCGAAAUUACUUGUCGUACAAAUUAAUAAAAACGGAUGUAUCUAGAACUAAAAUAUAUCUAGAUAUAUCCAUUCGUAUGACAAGUGUUUCCGGACGAAGGAAGCAUAUA